rnacentral:rRNA from 1 species
GACGUAGGUGGCGAACGUUAUCCGGAAUUAUUGGGCGUAAAGGGUGCGUAGGCGGUUUGUUAAGUCACUGGUGAAAGUUUUCGGCCCAACCGGAAAAUUGCCUGUGAUACUGGCGAACUUGAGUGCGUGAGGGGUGGGGGGAACGAGCAGUGUAGCGGUGAAAUGCGUAGAUAUUGCUCGGAAGGCCAGAGCCGAAGGGGCCCUACUGGUACGUAACUGACACUGAGGCACGAAAGCGUGGGGAGCAAACAGG